CUACGGGUGGCUGCAGUGGGGAAUAUUGCACAAUGGGCGCAAGCCUGAUGCAGCCAUGCCGCGUGUGUGAAGAAGGCCUUCGGGUUGUAAAGCACUUUCAGCGGGGAGGAAGGCGUUAAGGUUAAUAACCUUGGCGAUUGACGUUACCCGCAGAAGAAGCACCGGCUAACUCCGUGCCAGCAGCCGCGGUAAUACGGAGGGUGCAAGCGUUAAUCGGAAUUACUGGGCGUAAAGCGCACGCAGGCGGUCUGUCAAGUCGGAUGCGAAAUCCCCGGGCUCAACCUGGGAACUGCAUUCGAAACUGGCAGGCUAGAGUCUUGUAGAGGGGGGUAGAAUUCCAGGUGUAGCGGUGAAAUGCGUAGAGAUCUGGAGGAAUACCGGUGGCGAAGGCGGCCCCCUGGACAAAGACUGACGCUCAGGUGCGAAAGCGUGGGGAGCAAACAGGAUUAGAUACCCCAGUAGUC
rnacentral:rRNA from 1 species